UGGUCACAGCGUUGCGGUGUCAGCGAGAGACAAAUCAGUCCGCGGCCAUGAACAGCCAUAAAAUUGAUGGCCUCGGGCGUCGCCAAUUCUGCGGCCAUGACC
rnacentral:antisense_RNA from 1 species